ACCGCGCUGAUCUGAUGGCAGGAGCCAGGUACUUAUCCUGGUCUCCCAUGGGGUGCAGGGCCCAAGGACUUGGGCCAUCCUCCACUGCACUCCCUGGCCACAGCAGAGAGCUGGCCUGGAAGAGGGGCAACCGGGACAGAAUCUGGCACCCCAUCAGGGACUAGAACCCAGUGUGCCAGCGCCGCAAGGCGGAGGAUUAGCCUAGUGAGCCACGGCGCCGGCUGAUAGCUCUUUUUAAAAAAAAUUUUUUUUUAUUUAUUUGAAAGAGAUCUGUAUACUGGUUCACUCUCCAAAUGUCUGCAAAAUCCGGGACUAAGACCAGAUUGAAGCCAGGAGCUGGGAACUCAAUCCAGGUCUAAUAUGAGUGGCAGGGACCAAACUACUUGAGCCAUCAGCUAUAGGAACCUGGAAUGGAAAGCGGAGCUGAGAUUCAAAGCCAGACACUCUGCUAUGGGUCAUAGGGAACCUAUCCAGCAUCAUAACUGCUGCACCAAACAUCUGUCCCUCAUUUAUUUUAGUGCUGAGUAUAUUUUCUGAAUUGCAUACCACAGUUUAUCCAUUCACAUGCUAAAGAACGUCUUGGUCACUUCCCAAGUUUUGAGAAUUAUGAAUAAAACUGCUAUAAACAGUUAAUAGUAAAUAAUAAAAUUGUUUUUGUGUGUGUAGACAGUUUUCAGCUCCUUUGGGUUAAAUACCAAGAAGCCUAAUUGCUGAAUUAAAUGGUAAGAUUAGUUUUGUGCAGUUUUAAUCAUUGUAGUCAAAUAGUAAAAUGCCACAUGCUGUGUGAUUUUUUUUUUAGGUCAGGAUUGCUUUGGCUAAUGGAGUAUUUUGUGGUUCCAUACAACUUUUCUAAUUUUGUGGAAAAUGUCAUAAUUUUGACAAGGAUUCCAUGGAAUCUAAAAGACACUUUGGGUAGUAUGGAUAUUUUAACAAUUACUGAUUUUUUUUCAAUCCAUGAAUAUAGGAUGCCUUUUCAUUUCUCUGUGAUCUCUUCAGUUUUUUUCUUUUCUUUUUUUUUUUUUUUAAUUUUUUGACAGGCAGAGUGGACAGUGAGAGAGAGAGACAGAGAGAAAGGUCUUCCUUUGCCGUUGGUUCACCCUCCAAUGGCCGCCGCAUCCGAAGCCAGGAGCCAGGUACUUAUCCUGGUCUCCCAUGGGGUGCAGGGCCCAAGCACUUGGGCCAUCCUCCACUGCACUCCCGGGCCACAGCAGAGAGCUGGCCUGGAAGAGGGGCAACUGGGACAGAAUCCGGCACCCUGACCGGGGCUAGAACCCAGUGUGCCGGCGCCGCAAGGCAGAGGAUUAGCCUAGUGAGCCGCGGCGCCGGCCAGAAAUGCUUUCUUGAUUUCUUUUUAAGAUAACUCACUAUUGGAUAUGGCAAUAGUUGUAUGUUGACCCUUGCCAUAGAUAAGCCUUGCUCUGGGGAAACUACCUUCAUGAUCAUGGUAUCUCCCCUGCCAGGAGAAUGACUGAAAACAAAGAGAAUGAUCUUCCCUCUACUGGUUCACUCCUCAAAUAGCCACAGCAGGGCACAUCAGCAGGAAGAGCUACAUCUGGAGCUGAGCAACCAGGACUAGAAUCAGCACCUUGAAUGGGAUGCCAAUGUGACAGGCAGUGGCUUAACCUGCUGUACCACAAUGCCAGCCACCUAAUAAUUUUUUGAUGAAAUCUUUGGAGUUUUCUUUAUGUAAGAUCAUAUACAACUGUGCCAGUGUCUUGCAGGGUUUCCCUGUAGUUUUCAUCUAGUAACUUGAUGUUAUCAGGUCAUAGAUUUAGAUCCUUGACCCAUUUUGAGUUGAUUUUUUAUAAUGUAUAAGAUAGGGGUCUUGUUUCAUAUUUUUGCACAUGAAAAUCCAAUUUUCCCAGCACCGUUGUUGAAGAGACUAUCCUUUCUCCAUGGAUUGAUUUUAGAUAAUUUGUCACCUAUUGGUUAGUUGUAGCUACAUGGAUUAAUUUCUGGGUUUUCUAUUCUGUUCCAUUGGUCUACAUGUUUAUCUUUGUGCCGGUACCAAGAUGUUUUGAUUAUAACUUCCCUGUAGUAUGUUUAAAUCUGGGAUUGUGAUGCCACCAGCUUUAUUUUUGUUGUUUAAGAUUGCUUUAGCUAUUCAGGAUCUCUUGUGCUUCCAUAUGAAUUUUAACAUCAUUUUUUCUAGAUCUGAGAAAGUCACCUUGGUAUUUUGAAUGGAAUCUCAAUCUGUAAAUGCCUUUUGGUACUAUGGCACUUGGAUGAUACUAAUUCUUCCAACUCAUGAUUAUAGAAAUUUUUCCAUUUUUUGUGUGUGUCUUCUAUUUAUUUCUCUAAUAUCUUCUAAUUUUCAUUGUAGAGAUCUUUCACAUUUGUGGUUAAAUUUAUUCCAAGGUAUUUAUGUUUUUUGUAGCAGUUGUGAAUGGGACUGAUAUUGUAAGUUCUUUCUCAGUCAUUGCAUUAUUUGUAUAUACAAAGGGUAUUGAUUUUUGUGUGUUGAUUUUAUAUCCUGCAACUUUACCAACCUCUCAUGAGUUCUAAUAGUCUCUUAGUGGAGUCUUUUGGUUCCCCUACGUAUAGAAUCAUGUCAUCUCCAAACAGGGAUAAUUUUACUUCCUCCUUUUCAGUUUGUAUCCCUCUGAUUUCUUUUUCUUGCUUAAUGGCUCUGGGCUAAAAUUUCCAGGACUAUAUUGAAUAUCGAUGGUUAAAAUGGACAUCCUUGGCAUGGUUGCUGUGGCUAGUAAGUUAAGCCUCCACCAGCAGUGCCAGUAUCACAUAUGGGCGCCAGUUUGUGUCCUGGCUGUUCCUCUUCUGAUCCAGCUCUCUGCUGGUGGCCUGAAAAAAUCAGUGGAAGAUAGCCCAAGUUCUUGGGCCCCUGCACCCAUGUGGGAGACCCAGAAGAAGCUCCUGGCUUUGGAUUGAUGCAGCUCCAGCUGUUGUGGCUAUUUGAGGAAUGCACCAGCGGAUGGAAGACCUGUCUGUCUCUCCCUCUCUGUCUGUAACUCUGCCUCUCAAAUAAGUAUUUUUUUUUUAAUGUGGGUAUCCUUUUCUGGUUCUGGAUCUUCCAGCUUUUCCUCAUUCAGUAUGAUGACCCCUGCGGGUUGUCAUAUAUUGCCUUGAUUGUGUUGAAAAAUGUUCCUUCUAUACCCAAUUUGCUUAAGGUUUUUAUCAUGAAAAGGUAUUUUUCUCAAAUGGUUUCUUUGCAUCUGUUGAUAUAAUUAUUAUUUUUAUUCUUCAAUUUUUUAAUAUGAUGUAUCACAUUUAUUGAUUUGCAUAUGUUGAACCAUCCCUGCAUAGUAAGAAUAAAUCCCAGUUGGUCCAGGUGAAUGAUCUUUCUGGUGUGUUGUUGGAUUUGAUUACCUACUAUUUUGUUGAGGAUUUUUGCAUCUGUGUUCAUCAG